rnacentral:rRNA from 1 species
UUGCUUCUCUUGAGAGCGGCGGACGGGUGAGUAAUGCCUAGGAAUCUGCCUGGUAGUGGGGGAUAACGUUCGGAAACGGACGCUAAUACCGCAUACGUCCUACGGGAGAAAGCAGGGGACCUUCGGGCCUUGCGCUAUCAGAUGAGCCUAGGUCGGAUUAGCUAGUUGGUGGGGUAAUGGCUCACCAAGGCGACGAUCCGUAACUGGUCUGAGAGGAUGAUCAGUCACACUGGAACUGAGACACGGUCCAGACUCCUACGGGAGGCAGCAGUGGGGAAUAUUGGACAAUGGGCGAAAGCCUGAUCCAGCCAUGCCGCGUGUGUGAAGAAGGUCUUCGGAUUGUAAAGCACUUUAAGUUGGGAGGAAGGGUUGUAGAUUAAUACUCUGCAAUUUUGACGUUACCGACAGAAUAAGCACCGGCUAACUCUGUGCCAGCAGCCGCGGUAAUACAGAGGGUGCAAGCGUUAAUCGGAAUUACUGGGCGUAAAGCGCGCGUAGGUGGUUUGUUAAGUUGGAUGUGAAAUCCCCGGGCUCAACCUGGGAACUGCAUUCAAAACUGACUGACUAGAGUAUGGUAGAGGGUGGUGGAAUUUCCUGUGUAGCGGUGAAAUGCGUAGAUAUAGGAAGGAACACCAGUGGC